AGUCGAGGGGUAUAGUUCUUCGGAACUAGAGACCGGCGCACGGGUGCGUAACGCGUAUGCAAUCUACCUUUUACAGAGGGAUAGCCCAGAGAAAUUUGGAUUAAUACCUCAUAGUAUGUGAGAAUCGCAUGGUUUUCACAUUAAAGUUCCAACGGUAAAAGAUGAGCAUGCGUCCCAUUAGCUAGAUGGUAAGGUAACGGCUUACCAUGGCGACGAUGGGUAGGGGUCCUGAGAGGGAGAUCCCCCACACUGGUACUGAGACACGGACCAGACUCCUACGGGAGGCAGCAGUGAGGAAUAUUGGACAAUGGGCGCAAGCCUGAUCCAGCCAUGCCGCGUGCAGGAUGACGGUCCUAUGGAUUGUAAACUGCUUUUGUACAGGAAGAAACACUCCCUCGUGAGGGAGCUUGACGGUACUGUAAGAAUAAGGAUCGGCUAACUCCGUGCCAGCAGCCGCGGUAAUACGGAGGAUCCAAGCGUUAUCCGGAAUCAUUGGGUUUAAAGGGUCCGUAGGCGGUUUAAUAAGUCAGUGGUGAAAGCCCAUCGCUCAACGGUGGAACGGCCAUUGAUACUGUUAAACUUGAAUUAUUAGGAAGUAACUAGAAUAUGUAGUGUAGCGGUAAAAUGCUUAGAGAUUACAUGGAAUACCAAUUGCGAAGGCAGGUUACUACUAAUGGAUUGACGCUGAUGGACGAAAGCGUGGGUAGCGAACAGGAUUAGAUACCCUGGUAGUCCACG
rnacentral:rRNA from 1 species